GGAUCAACAACAGAUUUGGCAAGCAUAUAAUCAAAUUUAUAUGGUAUUCCACGAGUUUUGUUACCCGAAAGAGGAAUAACCGUACAGUUCUCACUCAAUCACUAUGUGUGGGUGGCAUGCAUGUGAACAUAGAAACAAGAGUCUGCACUAAAUUCGAUGAUGCAGUGCUGGGGAAUCAAAUUUACUUUCCCACAUGAUUAUGCUCCUACUCCUACCACCAGCCAGUCAUCUCCAUCAGUUUUGGUAACAGUUAAAAAUAUUCUAACAUAAAGUGGUGUUUUAGUGCAAUUUUUGCUGAUGCAUUGGCUUGAAAAGUGCAUUAUUCAUGGAUUACACAGGUGAAUUCAAGCCGUUUUUUCUCAAGCAAUCGUUUCUGAUGAAUCUUAUCGAUGUCACUAUUUUGUCUGCGUUCUUUGUCAUUCUCUCCCCUGUUUUAAAACCUCGUGAAUAUAUUAGCAGCAUUUAUAUUUCAUAAUUAAACCCCUCUUGCCCCGAUAAACAAAAAUGUAACCAAUGAGUGAUGAAACAAUGUUAGCCGUCCUUACCGUAAACGACAUCGGAACUUUUUUUAGCUUCUUAAUUAUGACUGCCUUCCGUCCUAGCUUUUAUUUUUCUCCGUACUUUGUAACAACUCCAGGCCAAAAGUUAACACCGUGUUUGUCUUCUCCUUUUGAUAAAAUGCCGCUGUCUUCUAUUCCAAGAACACAUAUUCUAAAGUCAAAACUAGAUUGACAAAUUGAAAGGAAAAUGGAUAGUCGUUGAUAUGGCAGCUGGCCUUUCCCAACAAAAUAUAUAUAAUCACUGAUUUAAAAAAAAAAAAAAAAAAAAACAGAAUAGAUGGUCAAAUUGAAAGGAGAAAGGUUGAACCGUAUGCGAACCGGCCUCCCCCAGGUUUUAAACAGACUAGACAGAACAUCAUGCAGGAUGAAAAAUGCUGGCAGUGAUGUUUUCUAACUCAGAUGUAUCAAUACACACCAUGUGGUAGAUCAACUACUCGUGUCAGGAUUUUAUUAAUACAAUUAGGAUUCGGUUUUCGCAAGACUAAAUAUUGACGAGUAUUCUGGCAGGGAGUGGCACCCACUAAGGUCUUUCCAGAUGUUGCUCAUGUAUCUGAAUAAGACUAUCAUAUACUGGGCCAGAGGAUAUGAAAUGGCCUAGUGAGGUGUUGAUCAACUGAUUCCACACUUCAAUCAAUUGAAGGAAUUUAUGAAAGGCCCCGCAAAAGCCGAGAGAAAGAGAGAAUGAAGACAUGAACUAUAAGCAAGAAUAGUAAUAGCAUCGUCAAAAAAAGUAGCAAUGUUUGAAUACACAUUCUCAAGACCUCCAACUACAAAAUAGAACCGAAUACCAACUCCGGAAAGAAGAAAAGAAAGAAUGUCAAAAGUUAAGAACGAAGCCAUUUAUUGGUUGUAUGGGUAUGGUUCUUCCUCUUUCAUAUGGUACAAUAGAGUUUUUCAUCUAUCCCUUCAAUUAUGGACAGGUAUUCGAAUUUAAAUCGAUCAACAGUAUGUGGCCUCGCUUGAUUACUAUAGUCAUUAUCAAACUGUAAGGAGAUGAUCAAUAAAACUUGACCCUGAACACUGUACGAGUAAGUGCACCUACACUACUCUGCUGUUAUGACUUCAAUAAAGCAAAUGCUACCUAAAUCAAAUUAUUUACGGAUCUUUUC